rnacentral:rRNA from 1 species
AGAGUUUGAUCCUGGCUCAGAUUGAACUCUGGCGGCAUGCUUUACACAUGCAAGUCGAACGGCAGCACGGGCUUCGGCCUGGUGGCGAGUGGCGAACGGGUGAGUAUGCGUCGGAACGCGCCGAGUAGUGGGGGAUAACGCAGCGAAAGCUGUGCUAAUACCGCAUACGUACUGAGGUAGAAAGUGGGGGACCUUCGGGCCUCACGCUAUUCGAGCGGCCGACGUCUGAUUAGCUAGUUGGUGGGGUAAAGGCUCACCAAGGCGACGAUCAGUAGCGGGUCUGAGAGGAUGAUCCGCCACACUGGGACUGAGACACGGCCCAGACUCCUACGGGAGGCAGCAGUGGGGAAUUUUGGACAAUGGGCGCAAGCCUGAUCCAGCCAUGCCGCGUGUCUGAAGAAGGCCUUCGGGUUGUAAAGGACUUUUGUCCGGGAGCAAAGCCUACUUGUUA